rnacentral:rRNA from 1 species
UACCAGCACCCCGAGUGGUCGGGACGUUUAUUGGGCCUAAAGCAUCCGUAGCCGGUUCUUCAAGUCUUCCGUUAAAUCCAACUGCUUAACAGGUGGGCUGCGGAAGAUACUAUAGAGCUAGGAGGCGGGAGAGGCAAGCGGUACUCGAUGGGUAGGGGUAAAAUCCGUUGAUCCAUUGAAGACCACCAGUGGCGAAGGCGGCUUGCCAGAACGCGCUCGACGGUGAGGGAUGAAAGCUGGGGGAGCAAACCGG